rnacentral:rRNA from 1 species
AGGGAAUAUUGCGCAAUGGGCGAAAGCCUGACGCAGCAAUACCGCGUGAGUGAGGAAGGUCUUCGGAUUGUAAAACUCUGUCGGGAUGGAAAAAUGGCGUAGAGUCGAACAGGCUUUACGAUUGAUGGUACAUCCAAAGGAAGCACCGGCUAACUUCGUGCCAGCAGCCGCGGUAAUACGAAGGGUGCAAGCGUUGUUCGGAUUUAUUGGGCGUAAAGCGCGCGCAGGCGGAUAAUUAAGUCAGGUGUGAAAUCUCAGGGCUCAACCCUGAAACUGCGCCUGAAACUGAUUGUCUAGAAUGUCGGAGGGGGAAGGGGAAUUUCGCAUGUAGGGGUAAAAUCCGUAGAUAUGCGAAGGAAUACCAGAGGCGAAGGCGCCUUCCUGGACGAUGAUUGACGCUGAGGCGCGAAAGCGUGGGGAGCAAAC